rnacentral:rRNA from 1 species
GUAGGGAAUCUUCCGCAAUGGACGAAAGUCUGACGGAGCAACGCCGCGUGAGUGAGGAAGGCCUUCGGGUCGUAAAGCUCUGUUGUGAGGGAAGAAGCGGUACCGUUCGAAUAGGGCGGUACCUUGACGGUACCUCACCAGAAAGCCACGGCUAACUACGUGCCAGCAGCCGCGGUAAUACGUAGGUGGCAAGCGUUGUCCGGAAUUAUUGGGCGUAAAGCGCGCGCAGGCGGCUUCUUAAGUCUGAUGUGAAAUCUCGGGGCUCAACCCCGAGCGGCCAUUGGAAACUGGGGAGCUUGAGUGCAGAAGAGGAGAGUGGAAUUCCACGUGUAGCGGUGAAAUGCGUAGAGAUGUGGAGGAACACCAGUGGCGAAGGCGACUCUCUGGUCUGUAACUGACGCUGAGGCGCGAAAGCGUGGGGAGCAAACAGGAUUAGAAACCCUAGUAGUCC